rnacentral:rRNA from 1 species
UACGUAGGCAGCGAGCGUUGUUCGGAGUUACUGGGCGUAAAGGGUGUGUAGGCGGUCCCUUAAGUUUGGUGUGAAAUCUCCCGGCUCAACUGGGAGGGUGCGCCGGAUACUGAGGGGCUAGAGUGCGGGAGGGGAAAGUGGAAUUCCUGGUGUAGCGGUGAAAUGCGUAGAUAUCAGGAGGAACACCGGUGGUGCAAACGGCUUUCUGGACCGUAACUGACGCUGGAGACACGAAAGCGUGGGGAGCAAACAGG